rnacentral:rRNA from 1 species
GACCACAGCCAUAUGACCCUGCAGCCCAAGACUGGUUGUCCACUGAAGCUAAGCAGGGUUGAGCCUGGUCAGUACCUGGAUGGGAGACCUCCUGGGAAAACUAGGUUGCUGUUGGAA